rnacentral:lncRNA from 1 species
ACAUACUUGGAUAGAGAAAUGCAUUCCUCAGAAUGAUGCAACCGCACCUGAGAACAAAGCCUCAACAGGGGACAAGCCUGCGGCAGACAGGGUGAAGCUCUCCCAUUCCACGGGGGCCUUCUCGUUUCUUGGUUGUUACUGUCAGGAACCACCUGGGUCUCUGAAUGGUGCCUCCCAGCCCAGCGGCCUCAGAAUCACCUGGGCUCUUACAAAUAAAUACAAACACCUGGUCUGCAUUCCAGGCGCAGGGGAUCAGGGCCUUGGAGUUGGAGCAGGGACGGGAGUGGACUGAGCGUCUAUGGGAUGAGAGCUUUGGAGGAGACAGGGGUGCUCAGGUCAAUCGGCUGAUGGAGUUUGCAUGCCUUGGGAAUUGCACGUUACAUCAAGGAACAGCUUCAGGUCCAGCUGUGGCUUCUCCUGACCUGGGGAUGGCAACACCAGCCAUGCGGUGAGGACAGGAGGACGGCCCUGUGACGGGUGUUUCAGCCAGGACAGGAGGACCCGGAAGUGGGUGGGCAGAGCAGUGCUGACAUCCAGCUGGGCACACACACCGCCCCCAGACUCAAGGCCAGGAAAUAGCUCUUGACCCACGCCCAGUGCUCUCCUCUUGGGACCGUUCCUUAAUCCUUAAUCCAAAUCUGGCCCACUGCUUGCUUUGUAAAUAAA